UCCGCAGCCUCUGUCUCUGGGCACUCACCAGACAACCAUCCUGAGAACUGUCCUCUCCAAACACGGGACAAUGAGGCUUUGGUUGUAUCUCGUUCUCAUUGCAGCAGCGUUUGAAGGUGUCCGGUCCCAGGUGCAGCUGGUGGAGUCCGGAGGGGAUGUGAAAAAGCCCGGAGACUCUCUCCGCCUCUCCUGCAAAGCCUCCGGGUUCACCUUCACCGACUACUGGAUGAGCUGGGUCCGCCAGGCUCCCGGAAAGGGGCUGGAGUGGAUCGGGGAAAUACACCCAACUUCAUCUACCAUCAACUACGCACAGCCCUUCAAGGGACGUUUCACCAUCUCCAGGGACAACCCCAACAACCUGCUGUAUCUGCAACUGACCGGCCUGAAGCCCGAGGACACCGCCCGGUAUCACUGUGCGAGACACGGUGAGGGGAAUCCCGAUACUGCUAAUACAAAAACUCAAGAUGCAGAAUCUUCUUUCUCCCGUGCGCCGCGCGGGGGCAGCACUUCCCCGAACAAUCCAGCCCUGGGCACAGGAACGGGAGCUACAACCAGAGCGAAAAAAUCAUCUCUCGUCAGGUUUGAGAUCUCUGUAUGCAUAUAUGAUCACGUGUCCAUAACAACUGCAACAACUUGA